AACGAACGCUGGCGGCAGGCUUAACACAUGCAAGUCGAACGCCCCGCAAGGGGAGUGGCAGACGGGUGAGUAACGCGUGGGAACGUACCUUUCAGUUCGGAAUAACUCAGGGAAACUUGUGCUAAUACCGGAUACGCCCGCAAGGGGAAAGAUUUUAUCGCUGAAAAGAUCGGCCCGCGUUGGAUUAGCUAGUUGGUGGGGUAAAGCCUACCAAGGCGACGAUCCAUAGCUGGUCUGAGAGGAUGAUCAGCCACACUGGGACUGAGACACGGCCCAGACUCCUACGGGAGGCAGCAGUGGGGAAUAUUGGACAAUGGGCGCAAGCCUGAUCCAGCCAUGCCGCGUGUGUGAUGAAGGCCUUAGGGUUGUAAAGCACUUUCACCGAUGAAGAUAAUGACGGUAGUCGGAGAAGAAGCCCGGCUAACUCGUGCCAGCAGCCGCGGUAAUGUACAGUGU
rnacentral:rRNA from 1 species